rnacentral:rRNA from 1 species
UGUUGGGUAGGGGAGCGUUCUGUAAGCCUGCGAAGGUGGCCUGUGAGGGUUGCUGGAGGUAUCAGAAGUGCGAAUGCUGACAUAAGUAACGAUAAAGCGGGUGAAAAGCCCGCUCGCCGGAAGACCAAGGGUUCCUGUCCAACGUUAAUCGGGGCAGGGUGAGUCGACCCCUAAGGCGAGGCCGAAAGGCGUAGUCGAUGGGAAACGGGUUAAUAUUCCCGUACUUGGUGUUACUGCGAAGGGGGGACGGAGAAGGCUAUGUUGGCCGGGCGACGGUUGUCCCGGUUUAAGCGUGUAGGUGUGUGUUCCAGGUAAAUCCGGUUCACUUUAACACUGAGGCGUGACGACGAGGCACUACGGUGCUGAAGCAACAAAUGCCCUGCUUCCAGGAAAAGCCUCUAAGCAUCAGGUAACAUCAAAUCGUACCCCAAACCGACACAGGUGGUCAGGUAGAGAAUACCAAGGCGCUUGAGAGAACUCGGGUGAAGGAACUAGGCAAAAUGGUGCCGUAACUUCGGGAGAAGGCACGCUGACAC